GGAAGAACAGCUGCAAGGGCCACACAUCUACUGGCCCUGAAUUCUUUUUGGCACGAGAUCUAAGAACCCUCUUUUGGGGUCUGGAUCUGGACCCCUUUCCUGUAACAUAAGGGUCCCUUCACUGCGCUUGUGACAUCCCAGGAUCACCCUGGCCUCUAGGCAGUGUAGCUCCAGCUGGGCUGAGUGGAAGAGCCACCCAACGUGUUCAGUUUUACAAGAAGAAUCAUAAAUAGAGCAUUCACCAAAGGGGCAGAAGAGAAGCGGAAACCCUCAGGGUGCUGAGAUUGUGGAAAGAGAAUGAUGCACUUAAAUAACUGAAAGGUUGAAAAAAGUAUGAAGAGCAUCAAAAGAUGCUGGAAAAUACACCUUAAAAAUACUGUGACCGGGGGCGGUGGCUCACGCCUGCAAUCCCAGCACUUUGGGAGGCCGAGGUGGGUGGAUCACCUGAGGUCGGGAGUUCAAGACCAGCCUGGCCAACAUGGAGAAAUCCCAUCUCUACUAAAAAUACAAAAAAAUCAGCCAAGCUUGAUGGCGC
rnacentral:lncRNA from 10 species